rnacentral:lncRNA from 1 species
CACAUUUUUUUAUCCGUUUAUCUAUUGAAGGCAUCUAGGUUGAUUUCACAGUUUAGCUAUUGAAUUGUGCUGCUAUAAACAUUGAUGUGGCUGUGUCCCUGUAAUGUGCUGUUUUAAAGUCUUUUGGGUAUAGACUGAGGAGAGGGAUAGCUGGGUCAAAUGGUGGUUCCACUCCCAAUUUUCUAAGAAAUAUCCAUACUGUUUUCCAUAUUGGCUGCACCAAUUUGCAGUCCCAUCAGCAGUGUAUGAGUGUACUUUUUCCCCCACAUCCUCGCCAACACUUAUUGUUGUUUAUCUUCAUAAUAGCUGCCAUUCUGACUGGAGUGAGAUGAUAUCUUAGAGUAGUUUUGAUUUUCAUUUCUCUAAUUGCUAGUGAUGAUGAACAUUUUUUUUCAUGUAUUUGUUGAUUGAUUGUACAUCAUCUUCUGAGAAGUGUCUCUUCAGGUCCUUGGCCCAUUUAUUGACUGGGUUAUUUGCGUUUUUUUUUUUUGGUGUUUAGCUUUUUGAGUUCUUUAUAUACCCUAGUGAUUGGUGUUCUAUCUGAUGUGUGAGGGGUAAAGAUUUGAUCCCAAGAUGUAGGCUCUCUAUUCACCUCACAGAUUGUUUUUUUGCUGAGAAGAAACUUUUUAGUUUGAGUCCAUCUCAUUUAUUGAUUCUUGAUUUUAAUUAUUGCACCACAGGAAUC